GGGGGAUGUGUGUGUGGUUUGGAGUGUAAGAAAGGAAGUAGUGAGGGGGAGGAGGACAAGGCACACACCAAUGUUGGCCUUCCCCCUACCUUAACUCCCUUCCUUAGAUACGGUGGAAAGUCCAUUGCAAAUGUGAGUUUCAUGUGUAAUAUGGUAUGGUAACUGUUUCUAAUCUAUGCUACAAACUUGAAAUGAAAAUAGAAAAAACAUCACAAUAGAGGCGUAGAUAUUCGAACAGAACUUGUUCACAUCUUCUUUCUGCAAGUUCUUAUUAAACUUUUGGCUCCGGUAACAGAAAGCUUCAGGAGGAUUUGA
rnacentral:misc_RNA from 1 species